GCUAGGCAUGGUGGUGCGUGCCUGUAAUCCCAGCUACUGGGGAGGCUGAGGCAGGAGAAUCGCUUGAACCCAGGAGGAGGUUGCAGUGAGCCGAGAUCGUGCCACUGCACUCCAGCCUGGGCAACAGAGUGAGACUCUGUCUCAA
rnacentral:SRP_RNA from 1 species